UUAAGCUAUAAUUCAAGGACUGCUGAAUCAUUUUCAUGCCCAGUCAAACUUACAGUGAGCUCAGGAGAGAAAAAAGGAAAGUGGGGUACAUUACACCAGGCAUAGAACAGACCAUGAAUGGCUCAAGGUUAAUGCAAUUAGUAAAAAAGACAUGUUAAAAAGGAGAAAUAGAUGGUAUUUUUAAACAGGUCCAAGGGAACCACUAAUCAUAUCCCUUUUACCCCAUUGUACACAGGAUUGAAGCCAAGCUUUGGAUUGUUGAUUUGUGUUGGGAUUUUGGUGGAGCCUACAGAUCUGAUCCGAAGGGCGACGGAAAUUACGUGCAGCACUGAGGAAUGGAGCUGGAAAAUACUUAGAGGCAAAUACUGACUGUAAGAUCUGAGAAAUACCCCUGAAUAGGAUCUGAUUUGAGAGGCAGCCAGUGUUUGUUUUACAUGGGAGCGGUUACUCUAGAGUCAAUAGGAUGUUGCUAAACUUGAACUUCUUGCUCCACUGAGUAUGUUAUCAACAGUCCAAAGAACACACUUUUAAAGGCAGACAUACAGCAAGAUAUUGGCCUGGAUAAACCCUUUCUUCUUCUCUAAGCCUACUUGGAAUCAAUUGGUGGACUUUGAAAAAUCAAAGUUUUUUUUAAAUAAAUUUCGAUUGGUCUUUUUUAUUUCGAAUUUCAAAGCUUUUUAAAUUCGAAAUUUGACCCUUGAUAAAUCUUCCCCUUACUGUGCAGUAUAUUGUGGAUUUUUAUUGGACAUAGCAAUUUUUAAGACCUACAGUACUUGUCUCAAAAUAAUGACAACGUUCUAUGAAAUGCUCUGCAUACUGUCAACUUUAAAAUGUGCACUUGAAAGUUUUUAGAUGGGGGAGCUGCUAAACACCUGUAAAAAAAAGAUAAUGUUGCCUUAUAUCUCUAUGUGUAUUUAGGGCCAAAAAACCCCAUUUGUAAUCAGAAAUUUAUUGGAAUUAUGUAGAUUCCAAUUUUAUAUGCUGGUAAAUCCCUAGAGAACUUAUGCUGUGUAGACAAGCUAUGACAUAGUGUAGGGGACCCAAACCUUUUUUAGCUGUGCCUCAAAAACAUGAGUUCUUAUAAACUGUGUACAAUUCUGUACAAAUAUCCUUAUGUAAACAUUUCUUCUUUAGGACAAAAUAUUUUUAUGUUUUACACAUGUAGAGGACUGAUACACGUAUUCCCCAUUUGUAGUGCUGUUCCAUAAGGUUUGGCCAUAGAAGGGCCCCUUAGUUAUACAGGAGUUAUUCUCUUCUUCCUGGGUAAAAACAUGACCCCUAACUUUCCCAGGUUUGACCACUAGAUGGCAGUGUUCAAUAAUAUAUAAGCUGAGCACACAUGCUCAGGAUUCAUUUUGUCUGAUCCCUUACCUGGGCAGGCAUGAAAAGUUUCCAGUGGCACCUAGACACAGUCAGUUCUAGUAAGUUAUAGGCUACUCACUUGCAUAGAUCACUCUAGGAGUGAUAGACAGUUAGGACUAUUUAUUAAAGCAGAUGAGGCUCCACCAAGGAGCGUUGAGUUGGACUAAGAUCCCAGUUACUAAUUGGCCAGAAGUAGGGACUAAGUGUUGAACCAGGAUUUAGGGAGAUACCCAAGAGUUCCACUUAGGGUAAAGGUUGAAAGCUGGGAGUGCCUCAGUCUACACUGUGUAUUCUCUCUCUCUCUCUUACCCUGCAGGGAUUUAUACUGACCAUUGCUGCUGUAAAUAUGUGCCUAUCUACAAAUGUUAUUUGUUCCUGCUUUGUAUUGAUAAACUCCUUAGUGGAUUGUGUUCUUUAACAAAUAAGUUCUAUGAUUAAGUUAUAAAAACCACUGGUGUCAAAUAAGUGUGUACUGCAUACAAUUGUAGUUACAUAACACCCUGCCUCUGCACGAUGGCGAGGGCUCACCCCCUGAGA